GUCUACGGCCAUGCCACCCUGAAUCCGCCCGAUCUCGUCUGAUCUCGGAAGCUAAGCAGCAUCGGGCCUGGUCAGUACUUGGAUUGGAGACCGCCUGGGAAUACAGGGUGCUGUAGGCU
rnacentral:rRNA from 1 species